ensembl:misc_RNA Y_RNA Y RNA
GGCUGGUCCAAUGGCAGUGGGUUAUCAGAACUUAUUAACAAUAGUGUCACUAAAGUUGGUAUACCAGCCCCCCCCCCACUGCUAAAUUUGACUGGCUAAAA